AACCCGUAAAUCCGAACUUG
rnacentral:miRNA from 3 species